UACGGAGGGUGCAAACGUUAUCCGGAAUCACUGGGCGUAAAGCGCGUGUAGGUGGUUUUGUAAGUGGGUGAUUAAAUACCGAGGCUUAACCUCGGGAAUGUUGUCUAUACUGCAAGACUUGAGGAAGAUAGGGCAAGCGGAACUUUGGGUGUAGGGGUGAAAUCCGUAGAUAUCCAAAGGAACACCAAUGGCGAAGGCAGCUUGCUGGUCUUAGUCUGACACUGAGACGCGAAAGCGUGGGAGCA
rnacentral:rRNA from 1 species